UGGGGAAUUUUGCACAAUGGGGGAAACCCUGAUGCAGCGACGCCGCGUGAUUUAGAAGGCCUUCGGGUUGUAAAAAUCUUUUCUAUGGGAAGAAAAUGACAGUACCAUAGGAAUAAGGACCGGCUAAUUACGUGCCAGCAGCCGCGGUAAUACGUAAGGUCCGAGCGUUGUCCGGAAUCAUUGGGGGUAAAGGGUACGUAGGCGGGUAAGCAAGUUAGAAGUGAAAUCCUAUAGCUCAACUAUAGUAAGCUUUUAAAACUGCUCAUCUUGAGGUAUGGAAGGGAAAGUGGAAUUCCUAGUGUAGCGGUGAAAUGCGCAGAUAUUAGGAGGAAUACCGGUGGCGAAGGCGACUUUCUGGCCAUACCCUGACGCUGAGGUACGAAAGCGUGGGUAGCAAACAGG
rnacentral:rRNA from 1 species